rnacentral:rRNA from 1 species
UAGGGAAUCUUCCGCAAUGGACGAAAGUCUGACGGAGCAACGCCGCGUGAGUGAUGAAGGUUUUCGGAUCGUAAAACUCUGUUGUUAGGGAAGAACAAGUAUCGGAGUAACUGCCGGUACCUUGACGGUACCUAACCAGAAAGCCACGGCUAACUACGUGCCAGCAGCCGCGGUAAUACGUAGGUGGCAAGCGUUGUCCGGAAUUAUUGGGCGUAAAGCGCGCGCAGGUGGUUCUUUAAGUCUGAUGUGAAAGCCCACGGCGCAACCGUGGAGGGUCAUUGGAAACUGGGGAACUUGAGUGCAGAAGAGGAAAGUGGAAUUCCAAGUGUAGCGGUGAAAUGCGUAGAGAUUUGGAGGAACACCAGUGGCGAAGGCGACUUUCUGGUCUGUAACUGACACUGAGGCGCGAAAGCGUGGGGAGCGAACAGG